rnacentral:lncRNA from 10 species
CUUCUUUAAGACCUUCAUUUUGAAUUCCCUGUCAGACAAUUCACAGAUCUUCAUUUCUUGAAGGAGAAUAAUAUGUAGUACUUAUAAACUUGAAGUUGCAACUGAUGUGGCAAUAUUAGUACUUACCAUUCAUCACUGAAGUACAUGUUCUGUAAAAGGGAGUAACAGAAGAAAAAACUCACCUUUCUUCAAGAAAUAUUCCAACUGCUCUGCAUCUGUGAACAUGCUCUGCCUUCACUCCUGUCACUGAAGAUCCUUCACUGCACAGCUCUUUACCUCUACUCAACGCUUUGGAAAUAUAAUCAGCCGUCUCCGUCAGUGAUAGUUAUCUUCUACAUUCAUCUUCUACAUUCCCAGAUUCAACCUACAGCAGACAGAAAUUUUUUUUCCUCUGAACUUUUUACUGGCAUCCUGCUCCACAAAGGGUACCCUGCUC